rnacentral:tRNA from 1 species
GCGGAGGUAGCCAAGCGGCUAAGGCAACAGGCUGCAACCCUGUCAUUCGGGAGUUCGAGUCUCCCCCUCCGCU